GACAAAAGUGCUUUUUGAGAAAAGCUAGAACAAGAAUGAAAACUUAUUGAAAAGAAAACUCAGAGCGGCAAUGGUAAGAGCAUCGUCUCUUGUCCUCAAUACCGUUUGUGCCUUAACAUCCUCCUCACCGUGACUUCUGACCCAUCACCAUGGCGGCGCGUCUCAUUUUUUCCAUUUCGAUGCAAAAAAACUCGUAUCGUCGUGCCCUUGGAUCCCGGCGUAGCAUCGCAUUCUGGAAGCCCGCAUCACGCUCUGGAGGCGUUCAACAAUUGUGCUUUGGGUUGCAUCGAAUCCUCGGUCUCUCCCCUCGCGUCUCAAGCUUCAUAAGCUUCAUCCCAACAAUGCCGCAUUCGCUUCGAUAUCCCUCGCAGAUUGAUUUAAAUCUUGUGGAGCAUCGCGCUUGUGCAACAAGAGUUCGAUUUGAAUGAUUUGAUCCUCACGAUUUCGACAAUAAAAACUAAACGCAGAUUGAAGCUAAACUUACCGGUUUCGACGCGGCGGCGAAAAUAGAAAUUUGCAGAAUGAAGCAAAGUGUAGGUGAAGUUGCGGAAUGAAGAGGAGAUAGUGCAUAACGAAAGACUUCGUGUAGGUUGAAGAAUGUGACGAAGAAUGGAGAAAAAGAAAUGAAGCAGAUUGAAAAAUGAAGAACCUUGGAAUGAAGCAGAUUGAAAAAUAAAGAACCUUGGAUUGAAGAAAAUUGAAAUGAAGCAGAUUGAAAAAUCGAGCCUGGAAUGAAGAAUGAGGUGGAAAUAAACUUAUUCAAUACAAAUAGAAGACACAGCUGAUGUGAUUUCAUUGGUUCGUGGGUCAGCAGUUUCUAAUGAAACUCCGUAAGGAUCUUUAACCAACAUGGUGAGAAUAUUAAAUAAACUCCAUGUUUUCGUCACGUUGUUGUUUAAAUCUCUCAAAGUUACAACUAAGACUGCAUCAAAUCCUCUUGCUCCGGGAACUCCAGCUAACAAUACGCCUUCCAAGUUCAUUGUAGCAUCUAGAAGUUGUGUUUGUGAUUCUGGUUUAAUCGAAACACCUGCAGCCUCACCCAUUAGGCGCAUAUAAUAUCUGAUCCCCACCAUUGCCUCUUUGGAGCCUAUGAGUGCUUUAAUAACUGCUUCCUUGUUAGGCUCAAAAGCUUGUUCUAUCCCCUUGUCGGAUCUGAGGAUGCUGCAACUGUCAAUCACAGACUUAAAUGCUUAAGAGAUGAAAAGCGGUAAAGUGCGGAAAGUAAAGGACACAGCGAUGUAUAGUGGUUCCCCUCACAGAUUGAGAGUACUCCACUCCCCUUUCAACGCGAAAGAGAAUUUCACUAAAAUGUUAGAUACCUAGACAAGACACCUUAAGGUCUUUCUAUCUAUUCUAACAUACCAAGAACAAUCCUCUUGGAUUUACAAUGUUUAAAGUCCAAUCGAGACUGAAUUUCUCACAGAUGGACCUCUUGUAUCCACACACCGGAUAACAAGGAUAAACCUCACAAACUUAUCCUUAACAAUCCUAAGAAUAAGUUGUAAUCAAAGAAUAUAAUUCUGAAUAAUUUGUAUAAAAUGAGAUAGAUGAAAAAUUGAAGUGUAUCAAUUAAAUAAUUGAUCUUCUCCUUUGUAACACUCAAAUCUCACAGUAAUUAUACAAGUGUUUUUGAAAUGAAAUGAAACUAUGAUGCUGAUAAAUGAAGGUUUAUGCAAAGUUUCACUCUUAAGAAAAUAUGGAUGAACACUUAGAAAGAUUGAGAGAAUGUGUGUAAAUGAUUUAAAUUUUUUGCAAGGAGGUGAUUUUAAAAUCUGAAAAAUGAUGUUUAUAUAAUGUCUAAAACACCUCCUCAGAUGAAUGCAAUAGUCCAAAGGUUGCCAUGUUUCAUGAUGAAGAGAGCAUAAGAGUUUUUAUGAAAAGAUGUAAUUAUUUUUCAUUCUGGAUCAGUGGUAAUCGGUUACCUUAAAUAGGGUAACCGGUUACAUGCAUUCAACGUUACAAAAUAAUUUGAAAUUUGCUUGAAGUAACCGGUUACCUUAAAUUGGAUAACCGGUUACAUGGUUCCAACGUUACAAAAAUGUUUGAAAAUUACACAGAGUAAUCGGUUACACUAAAACUGAUAACCGGUUACUCUAACACAGUUUUGAAAAAUAACUUAUAAAAUGAAGUGUGGUGGUUUGUUUGAUGCAUAAAACUAUUUUUAAUGAUUAUGAUAUGAAUGCAACAUGUUAUGAACACUUGUAUAACUAUCUAGAGUUCAAGUGUUACCUAAUCCAUUUGAAAGCCGAUUCUUCAUGUGAUUCAUCAAGACUUGAUCAUAUGUUGGAAACUUCAUACACGAGCUUUGAACCUUGAUCAAUCUUUUUGUUAAUCCGACUUUAGCUAUGUAGCAAGGUUUGUCGUCAUCAAAAUAUCUGAGAAGUCAUGUCUUCACAUCCUUCAUGUCCCGAUGAUCUUUUGAAGAGGAAAUCUUUACGAUGCCAAGGUAAUGAAGUAAAGCAGCAACUACAGCUGUUGUCAUGGCUGCAGAUUUGCCCAACCCAAUUUUAGCAACUUCGGGCUUACA